ACCACGGUGGUGUAGUGGUAACACGUAUGCCCGGUGUGCACAAAACGCGGGUUCGACUCCCUCCCGAGGUC